CAGGCUAGAGUUUGUUAAAAUCGUUUUAUUUACAUUAAAAAGUUAGUUGUUAAAUUCAACUUAGUUUGA
rnacentral:tRNA from 1 species